GACGAACGCUGGCGGCGUGCUUAACACAUGCAAGUCGAGCGGAAAGGCUCCUUCGGGGGUACUCGAGCGGCGAACGGGUGAGUAACACGUGAGUAAUCUGCCCUGCGCUCUGGGAUAGCCACCGGAAACGGUGAUUAAUACCGGAUAUGACAUGUCCCUGCAUGGGGGUGUGUGGAAAGUUUUUUCGGCGCAGGAUGUGC
rnacentral:rRNA from 1 species